rnacentral:rRNA from 1 species
GACGUAGGGCGCGAGCGUUGUCCGGAUUUAUUGGGCGUAAAGAGCUCGUAGGCGGUUUGUCGCGUCUGUCGUGAAAGCCCACGGCUUAACCGUGGGUCUGCGGUGGAUACGGGCAGACUAGAGGCAGGUAGGGGAGAAUGGAAUUCCCGGUGUAGCGGUGAAAUGCGCAGAUAUCUGGAGGAACACCGGUGGCGAAGGCGGCAUCCUGGACCGACACUGACGCUGAGGAGCGAAAGCCAGGGGAGCAAACGGG